AGAGAAUAUCUGCCCCUUGACCCUACAGGCCACCCUUGGGCACCUCAGUUCCUCCUACCUGCGGAGCUUUCAGACCUGUCACCAGCUGGAGAGGGUGGGCACAGCAUGGGGAGAAUUGCUGCAGACUAAACACAAGAGUCUUCACUCUCUCCAAGGAAUACGCUCUUUCCCUUUUCUUGGGGCAAGAGCCCUCAAGCUGCCUUUGGUUACUCCGUGUGGAGUAGACGUACACAUCGGAAGACCUCUUACGAAGCCACCUGGCAAGCCAUCCCUUCUUUAGAUUUUCAACGUUCUCAUCUGUUAAAAAUGAAAAUAAUCCUCCAGCACGGCUGCUCCUCCUCACAGGAUGGGAUGAAGUGAUGGAGAGAGGAGAGUGCUUACAAAUUGAAAGAUGAUUACUGACUGGAUUGCCAACACCCUUUUCUCUCAUUUCUAGUCCG